AUUGAACGCUGGCGGCAGGCCUAACACAUGCAAGUCGAGCGGUAGAGAGGUGCUUGCAUCUCUUGAGAGCGGCGGACGGGUGAGUAAUGCCUAGGAAUCUGCCUAGUGGUGGGGGAUAACGUUCGGAAACGGACGCUAAUACCGCAUACGUCCUACGGGAGAAAGCGGGGGAUCUUCGGACCUCGCGCCAUUAGAUGAGCCUAGGUCGGAUUAGCUAGUUGGUGAGGUAAUGGCUCACCAAGGCGACGAUCCGUAACUGGUCUGAGAGGAUGAUCGGUCACACUGGAACUGAGACACGGUCCAGACUCCUACGGGAGGCAGCAGUGGGGAAUAUUGGACAAUGGGCGAAAGCCUGAUCCAGCCAUGCCGCGUGUGUGAAGAAGGUCUUCGGAUUGUAAAGCACUUUAAGUUGGGAGGAAGGGUAGUAACCUAAUACGUUGCUACUUUGACGUUACCGACAGAAUAAGCACCGGCUAACUUCGUGCCAGCAGCCGCGG
rnacentral:rRNA from 1 species